rnacentral:rRNA from 1 species
GCUUGUAAGUCAGUGGUGANAUACUGCCGCUUAACGGUAGAAUUGCCAUUGAUACUGCGAGUCUUGAGUAUGGUUGAGGUAGGCGGAAUGUGCAGUGUANCGGUGAAAUGCAUAGAGAUUGCACAGAACGCCGAUUGCGGAGGCAGCUUACUAAGCCAUAACUGACGCUGAGGCACGAAAGCGUGGGGAGCGAACAGGAUUAGAUACCCUGGUAGUCCACGCUGUAAACGAUGUUCACUCGCUGUUUGCGAUACACAGUAAGCGGCUGAGCGAAAGCAUUAAGUGAACCACCUGGGGAGUACGAUCGCAAGGUUGAAACUCAAAGGAAUUGACGGGGGCCCGCACAAGCGGAGGAACAUGUGGUUUAAUUCGAUGAUACGCGAGGAACCUUACCUGGGCUUAAAUGUAGGCUGCAUGAAGUAGAAAUACUUCUUUCCUUCGGGACUGCUUACAAGGUGCUGCAUGGUUGUCGUCAGCUCGUGCCGUGAGGUGUCGGGUUAAGUCCCAUAACGAGCGCAACCCUUAUCGUUAGUUGCUAGCAGGUAAAGCUGAGGACUCUAGCGAGACUGCCACCGUAAGGUGAGAGGAAGGUGGGGAUGACGUCAAAUCAGCACGGCCCUUAUGUCCAGGGCUACACACGUGUUACAAUGGCCGGUACAGAGGGAAGCUACCUGGUGACAGGUUGCCAAUCUUAAAAGCCGGUCUCAGUUCGGAUUGGAGUCUGCAACCCGACUCCAUGAAGUUGGAUUCGCUAGUAAUCGCGCAUCAGCCAUGGCGCGGUGAUACGUUCCCGGGCCUUGUACACACCGCCCGUCAAACCAUGGGAGCUGGGGGUGCACUGAAGUCUGUGACCGAGAGGAGCGGCC